CAGUAGCCGCGGGAAUACGAAGGGUGCAAGCGUUAAUCGGAAUUACUGGGCGUAAAGCGCACGUAGGCGGCUUUGUAAGUUAGAGGUGAAAGCCCGGAGCUCAACUCCGGAAUUGCCUUUAAGACUGCGGAGCUAGCAGGUGAGAGAGGUGAGUGGAAUUCCGAGUGUAGAGGUGAAAUUCGUAGAUAUUCGGAAGAACACCAGUGGCGAAGGCGGCUCACUGGCUCAUACUGGACGCUGAGGUGUGAAAGCGUGGGGAGCAAACAGGAUUAGAUACCCCUGUAGUCCCUGUCUCUUAUAC
rnacentral:rRNA from 1 species